UACGUAGGGUGCGAGCGUUAAUCGGAAUUACUGGGCGUAAAGCGUGCGCAGGCGGCGCCGCAAGUCAGGCGUGAAAUCCCCGGGCUCAACCUGGGAAUGGCGCUUGAAACUAUGGUGCUGGAGUGUGGCAGAGGGAGGUGGAAUUCCACGUGUAGCGGUGAAAUGCGUAGAGAUGUGGAGGAACACCGAUGGCGAAGGCAGCCUCCUGGGCCAACACUGACGCUCAUGCACGAAAGCGUGGGGAGCAAACAGG
rnacentral:rRNA from 1 species